AUUGAACGCUGGCGGCAGGCCUAACACAUGCAAGUCGAACGGUAACAGGAAGAAGCUUGCUUCUUUGCUGACGAGUGGCGGACGGGUGAGUAAUGUCUGGGAAACUGCCUGAUGGAGGGGGAUAACUACUGGAAACGGUAGCUAAUACCGCAUAACGUCGCAAGACCAAAGAGGGGGACCUUCGGGCCUCUUGCCAUCGGAUGUGCCCAGAUGUGAUUAGCUAGUAGGUGGGGUAACGGCUCACCUAGGCGACGAUCCCUAGCUGGUCUGAGAGGAUGACCAGCCACACUGGAACUGAGACACGGUCCAGACUCCUACGGGAGGCAGCAGUGGGGAAUAUUGCACAAUGGGCGCAAGCCUGAUGCAGCCAUGCCGCGUGUAUGAAGAAGGCCUUCGGGUUGUAAAGUACUUUCAGCGGGGAGGAAGGGAGUAAAGUUAAUACCUUUGCUCAUUGACGUUACCCGCAGAAGAAGCACCGGCUAACUCCGUG
rnacentral:rRNA from 1 species